rnacentral:rRNA from 1 species
GAUGAACGCUGGCGGCGUGCCUAAUACAUGCAAGUCGAGCGAACAGACGAGGAGCUUGCUCCUCUGACGUUAGCGGCGGACGGGUGAGUAACACGUGGAUAACCUACCUAUAAGACUGGGAUAACUUCGGGAAACCGGAGCUAAUACCGGAUAAUAUAUUGAACCGCAUGGUUCAAUAGUGAAAGACGGUUUUGCUGUCACUUAUAGAUGGAUCCGCGCCGCAUUAGCUAGUUGGUAAGGUAACGGCUUACCAAGGCAACGAUGCGUAGCCGACCUGAGAGGGUGAUCGGCCACACUGGAACUGGGACACGGUCCAGACUCCUACGGGAGGCAGCAGUAGGGAAUCUUCCGCAAUGGGCGAAAGCCUGGCGGAGCAACGCCGCGUGAGUGAUGAAGGUCUUCGGAUCGUAAAACUCUGUUAUUAGGGAAGAACAAAUGUGUAAGUAACUAUGCACGUCUUGACGGUACCUAAUCAGAAAGCCACGGCUAACUACGUG